GUGUCAGCAGCCGCGGUAAGACGAACCGAGCGAACGUUGUUCGGAAUCACUGGGCUUAAAGGGCGCGUAGGCGGGCCAUCAAGUCAGGGGUGAAAUCCUCCAGCUCAACUGGAGAACAGCUUUUGAUACUGGUGGUCUCGAGUGGGGUAGGGGCAUGUGGAACUUCCGGUGGAGCGGUGAAAUGCGUAGAUAUCGGAAGGAACGCCGGUGGCGAAAGCGACGUGCUGGACCCUUUCUGACGCUGAGGCGCGAAAGCCAGGGGAGCAAACGGGAUUAGAAACCCCGGUAGUCC
rnacentral:rRNA from 1 species